AACGAACGCUGGCGGCACGCCUAACACAUGCAAGUCGAACGAAGGCUUCGGCCUUAGUGGCGCACGGGUGAGUAACGCGUGGGAAACUGCCUAUUGGUGGGGAAUAACGACGGGAAACUGUCGCUAAUACCGCAUAAGCCCUUCGGGGGAAAGAUUUAUCGCCGAUAGAUGUGCCCGCGUCCGAUUAGCUAGUUGGUGAGGUAAUGGCUCACCAAGGCGACGAUCGGUAGCUGAUCUGAGAGGAUGAUCAGCCACACUGGGACUGAGACACGGCCUAGACUCCUACGGGAGGCAGCAGUGGGGAAUAUUGGACAAUGGGCGAAAGCCUGAUCCAGCAAUGCCGCGUGAGUGAUGAAGGCCUUAGGGUUGUAAAGCUCUUUCGGGUGGGACGAUGAUGACGGUACCACCAGAAGAAGCCCCGGCUAACUUCGUGCCAGCCGCCGCCGUAA
rnacentral:rRNA from 1 species